AGCUCCAAGAAUACGAGGAGGAGGUGGCCCGGGUCGGCGUCGGCGCCGUCUGGCGCGAGCCACGGGUCCAAGUGCGUCUGCGCGCCGGCCACCCACGCCGGGUCCUUCAAGUGCCGCUUCCACCGCACCAACUCCGGCCACGGCCAGGGAAGCCGCCCUUCUUCGCCCCCUUCACCGCCCGCGGCCAACGCGGUGCCGUGGCACCCGGCCUCGCCGUCCUCGUCCUCCGGCACCGUCGCGACCCAGUGA
rnacentral:rRNA from 1 species